GUCAUGGUGAGCAUCACAGCCUGCGGACUGCACGUGACCUGUUGACAUGUGGGUAGAGCAGGUGAACCGCUGUUUGUGUUGUCUUGUCUGUGUUUAUAGGAUGUCGUGGACUCCCUGGUUGACUGAUUAUUUGCUUCUUUUGACACGGGCUGUGUAUGGAACCAACAGGCUCCCCAUCUAUCAUUUGACCAUUUGUCCCUUGGUCACAGCCUCGAGUCGACUGGACUAUGGCCCUGAGUCGAUUUGAUCUCCGGUAUUACAGGAAAGCUUUGGGUCGCUGGACGGUAACAUCACCUGCGAGGUGUGAGUCGCCAGGACAGCACCCACCCCACUGGCGGAGCCACAUCUCAGGUGUAGACAGUCCAACUCGCAGGAAAUGGAGGGAAUCGAACGCGGCUCUGCCCACCCUGGGUACCCAGCAGGGACUGGCGUGUUGUUACAAGUGCUGAAAAUAAAAGACAGGACCUGCUAUGCAAGGCUGUCAUGAUGGCCACCUGAUUGUUUUUAGCACAUGCACAAGCUCUUUAGGAAGAACAUAAAGAGAACAAGAAGGAGGAAUUCUUCAGAUGAGCAGUGAUAGUGCUUUAACUGCAUUGAUACAAUUCUAUCUCAGUGUCUAGUAUCUCUGGCUCAGCUGUAAUAUUUUGUGUGUGUCAAUAAAUAUAGUAAAAUCAUGUUACAAAAUAUUAAACAUAAUAAAUUUGCAAAUUCAGGCAAUUUUUAAAGAAGUUUGUUGAAGUAUUUUCCCAAUAUUCAAUCUACAUAGACUGAAAGAAGUGUAAGUGAAAUGUGCAAAUGUAGAUGUGUCACUGUAUUCUUUUUU
rnacentral:lncRNA from 1 species